rnacentral:rRNA from 1 species
UACGUAGGGUGCGAGCGUUGUCCGGAAUUACUGGGCGUAAAGAGCUCGUAGGUGGUUUGUCGCGUUGUUCGUGAAAACUCACAGCUUAACUGUGGGCGUGCGGGCGAUACGGGCAGACUGGAGUACUGCAGGGGAGACUGGAAUUCCUGGUGUAGCGGGUGAAAUGACGCAGAUAUCAGGAGGAACACCGGUGGCGAAGGCGGGUCUCUGGGGCCGAUACUGACGCUGAGGAGCGAAAGCGUGGGGAGCAAACGGG